rnacentral:lncRNA from 10 species
GUUUCUCCUGGACAGCAGCAUCUGGCUCCGCUCCCUUCGGAACUCCAGGAACAAGAAGAUCAGAUGUGUCCUGUACCCUGGAAGCAGUGGCAUGCAUAAGGAAGACCACCAGGCCUUAGAGGGGCAGCUGAACAAAAGAACAGGGGAGAACUGAUGGGCUGAUAUGGAACAUUCCAAGACAGUGAAUUGAAAAAAGGAACCAAGGAACAGAAGAGGAUGUGUGGUAUGCUACCUCAUGUGUUGAGGUGGCAAGGACAUCCAGAGAUGCUAAUUUAUG